CCUACAAUCGGUCGGAGCGGAACUUGUUCCGUGACGGCGUGCCUUUUGCAUAAUGAGCCUACGAGUUACACUUCACCGGCAAGGUUAACCCGUUCAGCGGGGGAGCCGGAGCGAAAGCGAGUCUGAACAGGGCGUAUAGUCGGUGGAGGUAGACGCGAAACCUUGUGAUCUACCCUUGGGCAGGUUGAAGUUGCGGUAACACGCAAUGGAGGACCGAACCGAUAAACGUUGAAAAGUUUCCGGAUGACCUGAGGGUAGGGGUGAAAGGCCAAUCAAACUGGGAAAUAGCUCGUACUCCCCGAAAUGUUUUUAGGAACAGCGUCGAAACUGAGUUUAACGGAGGUAGAGCUACCGAUUGGGUGCGGGGGAGUCAAAUCCUACCAAAUCCAGACGAACUCCGAAUGCCGUUAAAUAUGUUCGGCAGUGAGGCUUUGGGUGCUAAGGUCCAAGGCCGAGAGGGAAAGAACCCAGACCAUCAGCUAAGGUCCCCAAAUCCGUUCUAAGUUGAUCUAACGAGGUCCGGUUGCCCAGACAGCUAGGAUGUUGGCUUGGAAGCAGCCAUUCAUUUAAAGAGUGCGUAACAGCUCACUAGUCGAGCGGCCGGGCGUGGAUAAUAAACGGGCAUCAAGAACGGUACCGAAGCUAUGGAUUUGUACAUAUGUACAACUGGUAGGGGAGCAUUCCAUGUGGGGCGAAUGGACGGGGUGACCUGUCCUGGACUGUAUGGAAAAGCAAAUGUAGGCAUGAGUAACGAUAAGGCGGGUGGGAAACCCGCCCACCGAAAGAC
rnacentral:rRNA from 1 species